rnacentral:rRNA from 1 species
GACGAACCGUGCAAACGUUGUUCGGAAUCACUGGGCUUAAAGGGCGCGUAGGCGGCUUGCCAAGUCAGGGGUGAAAUCUUUCGGCUUAACCGGAAAAGUGCCUCUGAUACUGGCGGGCUAGAGGGAGGUAGGGGCAUGUGGAACUUCCGGUGGAGCGGUGAAAUGCGUUGAUAUCGGAAGGAACGCCGGUGGCGAAAGCGACGUGCUGGAUCUCUUCUGACGCUGAGGCGCGAAAGCUAGGGGAGCGAACGGG